rnacentral:rRNA from 1 species
GUCCACGCCGUAAACUAUGGAUGCUAGCUGUAAGAGGUAUCGACCCCUCUUGUAGCGAAGCUAACGCGUUAAGCAUCCCGCCUGUGGAGUACGGUCGCAAGACUAAAACAUAAAGGAAUUGACGGGGACCCGCACAAGCGGUGGAGCGUGUUGUUUAAUUCGAUGGUAAACGAAGAACCUUACCCAGGUUUGACAUCCUGCGAAUUUUGCCGAAAAGGCGAGAGUGCUUUAUUGAGCGCAGUGACAGGUGUUGCAUGGCCGUCGU